UAGCUUAUAGUUUUCAGAAUAUUAGAGUGUGGAUCUAAAGGUAUAAAGCUGC
rnacentral:tRNA from 1 species